rnacentral:siRNA from 1 species
AGGUUUGUACCUACGGACUGC